rnacentral:lncRNA from 10 species
UUUUAUAUAAAAUAUACCCCAGGUAAAGCCUUUUUAGAAAUAAAUGUCAAAAAAUACCAGAGACAGUGAUCAUACUUUGUGGCUUGGAACUUGCUUUUCUCAGUAAUAGUUCUUGGGAUUUUUUUCCUAUCAGUGCAUAUAGAUCUACUUCAUUAAUUUUAAAAAUUGUUUAGUGUAAGCGGUACCAUAAUUAUUUACCCAAUUCCCUUUGAUGGACAUUUUGGUAGUUAUCUCCUUGGC